rnacentral:rRNA from 1 species
GCGUGCUUACACAUGCAGUCGAACGAUGAUCCGGUGCUUGCACCGGGGAUUAGUGGCGAACGGGUGAGUAACACGUGAGUAACCUGCCCUUGACUCUGGGAUAAGCCUGGGAAACCGGGUCUAAUACCGGAUACGACCUGUCACCGCAUGGUGUCGGGUGGAAAGAUUUUUUGGUUUUGGAUGGACUCGCGGCCUAUCAGCUUGUUGGUGGGGUAAUGGCCUACCAAGGCGACGACGGGUAGCCGGCCUGAGAGGGUGACCGGCCACACUGGGACUGAGACACGGCCCAGACUCCUACGGGAGGCAGCAGUGGGGAAUAUUGCACAAUGGGCGCAAGCCUGAUGCAGCGACGCCGCGUGAGGGAUGACGGCCUUCGGGUUGUAAACCUCUUUCAGCAGGGAAGAAGCGAAAGUGACGGUACCUGCAGAAGAAGCGCCGGCUAACUACGUGCCAGCAGCCGCGGUAAUACGUAGGGCGCAAGCGUUGUCCGGAAUUAUUGGGCGUAAAGAGCUCGUAGGCGGUUUGUCGCGUCUGCUGUGAAAGCCCGGGGCUCAACCCCGGGUCUGCAGUGGGUACGGGCAGACUUGAGUGCAGUAGGGGAGACUGGAAUUCCUGGUGUAGCGGUGAAAUGCGCAGAUAUCAGGAGGAACACCGAUGGCGAAGGCAGGUCUCUGGGCUGUAACUGACGCUGAGGAGCGAAAGCAUGGGGAGCGAACAGGAUUAGAUACCCUGGUAGUCCAUGCCGUAAACGUUGGGCACUAGGUGUGGGGGACAUUCCACGUUUUCCGCGCCGUAGCUAACGCAUUAAGUGCCCCGCCUGGGGAGUACGGCCGCAAGGCUAAAACUCAAAGGAAUUGACGGGGGCCCGCACAAGCGGCGGAGCAUGCGGAUUAAUUCGAUGCAACGCGAAGAACCUUACCAAGGCUUGACAUGGGGCCGGACCGGGCUGGAAACAGUCCUUCCCUUCGGGGCCGGUUCACAGGUGGUGCAUGGUUGUCGUCCGCUCGUGUCUUGAGAUGUUGGGGUUAAGUCCCGCAACGAAGCGCAACCCUCGUUCUAUGUUGCCAGCGCGUUAUGGCCGGGGACUCAUAAGAAGACUGCCGGGGGUCAACUCGGGAAGAAAGGUGGGGGACGACCGUCAAAUCAUCCAUGCCCCCUUAAUGUCCUGGGGCUUUCACGCAUGCCUACAAUGGGCCGGGUACAAAGGGGUUGCGAAAAUGGUGGAGGGGGAAACUUAUUCCCAAAAACCCGGGCUCCAGUUUCGGAUUGGAGGUCGUGCA